rnacentral:rRNA from 1 species
AUUGAACGCUGGCGGCAGGCCUAACACAUGCAAGUCGAACGGUAACAGGAAGCAGCUUGCUGCUUCGCUGACGAGUGGCGGACGGGUGAGUAAUGUCUGGGAAACUGCCUGAUGGAGGGGGAUAACUACUGGAAACGGUAGCUAAUACCGCAUAACGUCGCAAGACCAAAGAGGGGGACCUUAGGGCCUCUUGCCAUCGGAUGUGCCCAGAUGGGAUUAGCUUGUAGGUGGGGUAACGGCUCACCUAGGCGACGAUCCCUAGCUGGUCUGAGAGGAUGACCAGCCACACUGGAACUGAGACACGGUCCAGACUCCUACGGGAGGCAGCAGUGGGGAAUAUUGCACAAUGGGCGCAAGCCUGAUGCAGCCAUGCCGCGUGUAUGAAGAAGGCCUUCGGGUUGUAAAGUACUUUCAGCGGGGAGGAAGGGAGUAAAGUUAAUACCUUUGCUCAUUGACGUUACCCGCAGAAGAAGCACCGGCUAACUCCGUG